AUGGGCUCCGAGAAAGACUCCGAGUCGCCGCGCUCCACCUCGCUCCAUGCGGCCGCCCCCGACCCGAAGUGCCGCAGCGGCGGCCGGCGCCGACGCCUCACCUUCCACAGCGUCUUCUCCGCCUCGGCCCGCGGUCGCCGCGCCCGGACCAAACCGCAGGCCGAGCCGCCGCCCCCGGCCGCGCCGCCGCCUCCCGCCCCGACUCCGGUCGAGGCCGAGGCCCCGCCGAUGGAGGCUCUGCCCGCCGAGCCCGCUGUCGAGGCUGAGGCGGAGGCCGCGGCGGCGGGGCCGGAGGGGGACGAGGCGACCGAGGGCGGCGGCGCCGAGGAGGUGGAGUGCCCGCUGUGCCUGGUGCGCCUGCCGCCCGAGCGGGCCCCGCGCCUCCUCAGCUGCCCGCACCGCUCGUGCCGGGACUGCCUCCGCCACUACCUGCGCCUGGAGAUCAGCGAGAGCCGCGUGCCGAUCAGCUGCCCCGAGUGCAGCGAGCGGCUCAACCCGCACGACAUCCGCCUGCUGCUGGCCGACCCGCCGCUCAUGCACAAGUACGAAGAGUUCAUGCUGCGCCGGUACCUGGCCUCGGACCCCGACUGCCGCUGGUGUCCCGCCCCUGACUGCGGUUAUGCUGUUAUUGCCUAUGGCUGUGCCAGCUGCCCAAAACUAACCUGUGAGAGGGAAGGCUGUCAGACUGAGUUCUGCUACCACUGUAAGCAGAUAUGGCAUCCAAACCAGACCUGCGAUAUGGCCCGUCAGCAGAGGGCUCAGACUUUACGAGUUCGGACCAAGCACACUUCAGGUCUCAGCUAUGGGCAAGAGUCUGGACCAGCAGAUGACAUCAAGCCAUGCCCACGAUGUAGUGCUUACAUUAUCAAAAUGAAUGAUGGAAGCUGUAAUCACAUGACCUGUGCAGUGUGUGGCUGUGAAUUCUGCUGGCUCUGCAUGAAAGAGAUCUCCGACUUGCAUUACCUCAGUCCCUCUGGUUGUACAUUCUGGGGCAAGAAGCCAUGGAGCCGGAAGAAGAAGAUUCUUUGGCAGUUGGGCACAUUGAUCGGUGCUCCAGUAGGGAUCUCACUCAUUGCUGGCAUUGCAAUUCCUGCCAUGGUCAUUGGCAUUCCUGUUUACGUUGGGAGGAAGAUUCAUAGCAGAUAUGAGGGAAGGAAAACCUCCAAACACAAGAGGAAUUUGGCCAUCACAGGAGGAGUGACCUUGUCAGUCAUUGCAUCCCCGGUGAUUGCUGCUGUUAGCGUUGGUAUUGGUGUCCCCAUUAUGCUGGCAUAUGUUUAUGGGGUUGUACCCAUUUCUCUCUGUCGUGGAGGUGGCUGUGGAGUUAGCACAGCCAAUGGAAAGGGGGUGAAAAUUGAGUUUGAUGAAGAUGAUGGUCCAAUCACAGUGGCAGAUGCCUGGCGGGCCCUCAAGAACCCCAGCAUUGGAGAGAGCAGUAUUGAAGGCCUGACUAGUGUGCUGAGCACCAGUGGGAGCCCUACAGAUGGACUCAGUGUUAUGCAAGGCCCUUAUAGUGAAACAGCCAGCUUUGCUGCCCUUUCCGGAGGCACCCUGAGUGGCGGUAUUCUCUCCAGUGGCAAGGGAAAAUACAGCAGGUUAGAAGUCCAAGCCGAUGUCCAAAAGGAAAUUUUCCCCAAAGACACAGCCAGUCUUGGUGCAAUUAGUGACAACGCAAGCACUCGUGCUAUGGCCGGUUCCAUAAUCAGUUCCUACAACCCACAGGACAGAGAGUGCAACAAUAUGGAAAUCCAAGUGGACAUUGAAGCCAAACCAAGUCACUAUCAGCUGGUGAGUGGGAGCAGCACAGAGGACUCGCUCCAUGUCCAUGCUCAGAUGGCAGAGAAUGAAGAGGGUAAUGGUGGUGGUGCUGGCGGUGGCAGUGGUAGCAGUGAAGAGGAUCCCCUUUGCAAACACCAAAGCUGUGAACAGAAAGACUGCUUGACCAGCAAGGCUUGGGACAUCAGCCUGGCCCAGCCUGAAAGCAUCCGCAGUGACCUAGAGAGCUCUGACACACAGUCGGAUGAUGUGCCAGACAUCACUUCAGAUGAAUGCGGCUCCCCCCGUUCCCAUGCUGCAGCCUGCCCCUCGACCCCCAGAGCCCACGGUGCACCAAGCCCAAGUGCCCACAGGAACCUCACUGCUCCAGCGGAGGGCCAGACUGUUCUGAAGCCAGAAGACUAUGAAGUGGAAUGAAGGCUCCUGCUCUGAGAAGCACACUUGUUGUGCUCUACCCUUGAGCUACAUCCCAGCCCCAGGAGCAGAUGCUCGCCGGAGGAAGAGAAGCAACUGCACGAUCGCCAGGCAGUAGCAUAGGUGUUGGCUGUGCUCUCAGGUGCACCUGCUGGCCUGUACAAUAAAGGAUGAGGCAUCCAGACGACAGCCAGCCAGCCGCUGGGGAAGAUGGGAACAGGAAAUGCUAAUGGACUGUGCGUCUCAGUAAGAAAAUGUCCUAGAGAGUGUCCCUGAGGGGAAAGGCAGGCAGUUUGGAGACCCCUGAGGUGCAAAUGAUCCACUUAAGAUUUGCAGUUCUUCUGAAACUUCACCAAGAAAUGCUUAACUUGGAUAAAGUCAAAGGCAGGCUGUCAGUGUACGGUCUAGAGCCAAAACCUGUAGUCUGUACCUGGGCUGACCUAAGGCUAUGGAACUGGGCAGCCUCCUCUCUCGUGUCUUUUCUCCGAGCCUGGUUCUGAGGUCACAGGGUUAAAAUGCUGUACCGAAAAUGCUUUGGUAAAGACCCGUGUUGAUGAUAAGGCGCAAGGUCAAGGAGAGUCCGGGUAUCUUCUAAGAAAGGAAACCUGGAACUCAGACCAAAGUCUCAGGAAAAACCAUUGGGCUUAGUUGAAGCUCCCAGGCUUUAGCCACCGAGAAGGCCCGUUAGCACCACCUGGAGGAAGAAAUGAGCAAUGCAUUGGGAACAUUAGCAGAAACUACCUCCUUGAGCGUCCAUUCCUUCACUGCAAUGCCAAAGACACUGAAGUGUGGAAAUGUAGCCAUGAGGAAGGCACAGUUUGUCCCCAUAGAGCUUAAACUCCCGGUGAGGGAAAACAUGGAUCCUCAAUGAGGAUAGGUAUGCUCUGGGGGAGAGAGGCAGACGGGGCUGCUUUUGAUGGGUAGCAUAUCAGGCUUUCAUCACUGUGACAAAGUAGCUGAGAUCUUCACCCUAUAAAGAGGAAAUACCCAUGGUCAUGUGGCUCCAUCACUACCGGGCUUGCAGCGAGGUGGAAGAUGAUGGUGGAGGUGGGUGGGGUUACAUGGUGGAGGAAACUGCUUACCUCAGGCAGCCAGGAAUCACAAAUACCACCACUACAGCUAGGGACCAAGCUUUUGACAGGCAUUCCAAGCCCAAACUACAGUAGGGAGCUUAAUCCUAUGGUAAGGUACAUUUGAUCAGAGACCCGAAUGGAGAAAUGGGGGCAGGGAAACCAGGACUGAAGACAGUCCAUAGGUCGGUUAAAAGGCAAGAUUGUGCAGUGCAUCAGAACAGCUUUGAAGAAAAGGUCAGGAGGAGUAGCACUCUAGUGCAGUGGGUGUGUGAAGCCAGCUUUCACAGGGGCGGGGCGGGCGUGUCUGGUCCCUGAGAUGGAUAGAGGCUUUGGACUAGGUGGAUGAGUACAAGUCCCAAACAUACCAUCUUGUAGUGCAGAGGCCAGCAAGCUGGGAAUGUCAUGCCUUGUCUUCCUGGAAGCUGGACUCUGCACAGAACUUGCUUUGCCAAUGAGAUGCACAAACACGGUAUAUAUAGACAGCUGGGAACGUCAUGCCUUGACUUCCUGGAAGCCGGGCUCUACACAGAACUGGCUUUGCCAGUGAGAUGCACAAACACGGUAUAUAUAGACAGAAGUAGCGGGAGGCUUCUUUAGCUGCUUUGGCUAAUGCUGCUGCAGGAUUGUUCCGCCUCAGACUGCUCCUCAGUGGAGCUCCAGGGCAGCAGUAGCUUUUCGGGUGUGGGAGAACGUCUCCAGGGUGGUGGUGGAUAUAGCAGUUCCCUGUGUGUGAGGAUAGUUGUGGGAACUCCCAGAAGUACAUUCUCCAGCCCGCCAAGGCUUUCCAACUCUCUACUUAAAAUUGCUACUUUUGGGGUUCUUUCCCCCAUAACUGUUAUUUUUGUUGUUGUUCCAGAAGUGGUAACAGGCACAAAGCUUAGCUCUGUCGUGACUAAGUUGUGUUUGAAGGAGAUGAAGAUAUCGUAGCUUUGGGAUAUGGUAAACUCCAGUCACCUGACAUACAGUCUUCCAGAAGAAAGAUCUAGCACCUGCAGUGACAGGCCAGUGCAUCAGGAGUGAGGUCGAAUGGCAAGAGUGAGAAAACGAAGGACUCCGGGCAUAUACAGUGGAGCCCUAAAUUUUUUCCCUUGUAGCCACAAGGCUGAAGUACCAGAAAUAAAAUGGGGUCACGCGAGGUCUCCUGUGUGACAGGCCAGUGCUUUGUUAAAGCAAUGAGACCCUGAAAUGGGAACUGGGGAUGUUCACUCUGAUUUGGAUCAGUCCUGUCAACCCUUGCUGGACGGUGAUCAUAUACUCCUUUAAUCCCAGCACUCGGGAGGCAGAGGCAGGCGGAUCUCUGUGAGUUCAAGGCCAGCCUGGUCUACAGAGUGAGUUCCAGGACAGGCUCCAUAGCUACUGAGAAAUCCUGUCUCAGAAAUAAAGUCCUGCCAGCCCACUGUCUCCAUAUAGCUCCUCUCACCGCAGAAGCCGCGUUCCUGAUUGUCUUGUGUGGAGACCCUGGAGUCGUUGCCUUGAAAGAGAACGUCCAUCCUUGUGCCCCACCUACGGCCCUCAUCACUUCCACAUCCACAGCUAGGGUCGGGGCUCUGCCUCUGGCAGGUGCAGCAAUCAGGACUGAGAGAUUGAAGGACCGUGAUGACACUUGCCAGUGAUGCUGUCAGUGGCUCUCAGCAGAAACCUGGGCGAUGUGUGGAUUUGACUCCAAAGGUGUCACGCUAAGAUGAGAGAGGGAAACUGUUGUUGGUUUUGGUUGAACUGGUUAGUAUGGACAAAGGGAACCCUCUGGAUCUGUUCUGUUUACCAACUUUGGCAACUAAGAACAGCUCUCAGCUACCAGCUGGAUGAAACUAUUUCUCUUCUUCUUCUUCUUCUUCUUCUUCUUCUUCUUCUUCUUCUUCUUCUUCUUCUUCUUCUUCUUCUUCUUCUUCUUCCUCCUCCUCCUCCUCCUCCUCC